AUUGAACGCUGGCGGCAGGCCUAACACAUGCAAGUCGAGCGGAUGAAGGGAGCUUGCUCCUGGAUUCAGCGGCGGACGGGUGAGUAAUGCCUAGGAAUCUGCCUGGUAGUGGGGGAUAACGUCCGGAAACGGGCGCUAAUACCGCAUACGUCCUGAGGGAGAAAGUGGGGGAUCUUCGGACCUCACGCUAUCAGAUGAGCCUAGGUCGGAUUAGCUAGUUGGUGGGGUAAAGGCCUACCAAGGCGACGAUCCGUAACUGGUCUGAGAGGAUGAUCAGUCACACUGGAACUGGGACACGGUCCAGACUCCUACGGGAGGCAGCAGUGGGGAAUAUUGGACAAUGGGCGAAAGCCUGAUCCAGCCAUGCCGCGUGUGAAGAAGGUCUUCGGAUUGUAAAGCACUUUAAGUUGGGAGGAAGGGCAGUAAGUUAAUACCUUGCUGUUUUGACGUUACCAACAGAAUAAGCACCGGCUAACCUCGUG
rnacentral:rRNA from 1 species